UCCCCCAGGUCUUCCUUGUCAGGUGGAGCUGUGACCCAGGUCUUCCUUGUUCAGGUGGAGCUGUGACCCAGGUCUUCCUUGUCAGGUGGAGCUGUGACCCAGGUCUUCCUUGUCAGGUGG